CAGCAGCCGCGGGAAUACGAAGGGUGCAAGCGUUACUCGGAAUUACUGGGCGUAAAGCGUGCGUAGGUGGUGGUUUAAGUCCGUUGUGAAAGCCCUGGGCUCAACCUGGGAAUUGCAGUGGAUACUGGGUCACUAGAGUGUGGUAGAGGAUAGUGGAAUUUCCGGUGUAGCAGUGAAAUGCGUAGAGAUCGGAAGGAACAUCUGUGGCGAAGGCGACUAUCUGGGCCAACACUGACACUGAGGCACGAAAGCGUGGGGAGCAAACAGGAUUAGAUACCCCUGUAGUCCCUGUCUCUUAUAU
rnacentral:rRNA from 1 species